rnacentral:rRNA from 1 species
UACAGAGGUCUCAAGCGUUGUUCGGAUUCAUUGGGCGUAAAGGGUGCGUAGGCGGACUUGUAAGUCAGUGGUGAAAUCUCUCAGCUUAACUGAGAAACUGCCAUUGAUACUGCAGGUCUAGAGUAUAGAUGACGUUGGCGGAAUAUGACAUGUAGUGGUGAAAUACUUAGAUAUGUCAUAGAACACCGAUUGCGAAGGCAGCUAACGAAACUAUAACUGACGCUGAGGCACGAAAGUGCGGGGAUCAAACAGG